AUUGAACGCUGGCGGCAGGCCUAACACAUGCAAGUCGAGCGGAUGAAGGGAGCUUGCUCCUGGAUUCAGCGGCGGACGGGUGAGUAAUGCCUAGGAAUCUGCCUGGUAGUGGGGGAUAACGUCCGGAAACGGGCGCUAAUACCGCAUACGUCCUGAGGGAGAAAGUGGGGGAUCUUCGGACCUCACGCUAUCAGAUGAGCCUAGGUCGGAUUAGCUAGUUGGUGGGGUAAAGGCCUACCAAGGCGACGAUCCGUAACUGGUCUGAGAGGAUGAUCAGUCACACUGGAACUGAGACACGGUCCAGACUCCUACGGGAGGAAGCAGUGGGGAAUAUUGGACAAUGGGCGAAAGCCUGAUCCAGCCAUGCCGCGUGUGUGAAGAAGGUCUUCGGAUUGUAAAGCACUUUAAGUUGGGAGGAAGGGCAGUAAGUUAAUACCUUGCUGUUUUGACGUUACCAACAGAAUAAGCACGGGCUAACUUCGUG
rnacentral:rRNA from 1 species